rnacentral:tRNA from 1 species
GACUUAAAAAUCCGUCGACUUUAAAAAUCGUGAGGGUUCAAGUCCCUCUAUCCCCA